AAAACCAGCCCAUUUCUCCCAUAGUGGUCGGCCAAAUCAGAAGAGAAGAGAAACCAAGGAAGAACAAACCCUAGAUGGGGAAAAUCAAAGAGAAAGUGUUGGAAUUCAAGGAUUUGAUCAAGCAAAGGUAAAAUUUCUUUGAUUUUGCUAGUGAUUUACCUUACCCAUGCAUUUCUCCUUAAUUUCCAUGGUUGGAUUGUAUGUUUACAUGGGGAAAUCAUGGCUGGCCGAAUGGGUUUGGUGAGAGAAAUGAUGUUGGAAUUAUUUGAUUUUGAUUUAUGUUGGUGUUUAGAGUUAGUUAAGCAUGUUUAGAAACAAAACAACAAGAAAAGAAUCCAUUUUCCCCAUGAACCUUCAAUGGCCGAACCCUAUGUGAAGUGUAGAAGUAAUGAAUUGAUUUUGUGAUCAAGUGAAUUGGUUGAAAAAUUGAUGAAAUGAUGAUUUAUGGUGAGAAAAUGGAAUGGGAAAAUUUUUAAUGAUAGUGCACCACAAUGGCUGAAAUUUUCAAGAAGAAUUGUGAGGGUUGUUAGGCUGAAUUUUAGAUUAUUGGAAUUGUAUUUAGUGAAUUGAAAUAUUAGAAAUGAAAUGGAGCAAUUUGGAGCUAAAUCGGACACAGUUGUCAUUUAAUCGGGUAAUAGGCCGAAUUAGGUCAGCACCACAUUUAAGCGGUAGUUGGAUAAGUUGCAUAUCAUAUCAUGCAUAUACACCGAGCCUGAAUUGAUUUUAUAAUGGUCAAGCAUUAAUGUGGUGAAUUAUGUAUUGUACAUUGUGGAUAGGUGGUGAGCAAAUUACACUAGUAAAAGUACAGAGAUUGUGCUUGAAGACUGGGAUUAGGAGUACAUCAACUCCUAGAACUGUGAGUGGACAAUUUAUCAUCUUAAAUAUCUAGAGUAAUUAUACUUGUUUGAUGCUUUUAUUGAAUGGUGAGUUUAAAUUAUAAAAUAUUAUGUUUUUCAAUUAAAAUGUUUUUUAAUAAAAAUGAGAUUUAUACUGGUUUUGAAAUCAAAUAUUGUUUUGGGAAAAUUGAGUAUAUGGAGACUGUGUUGAAUUUAUGAUUUUAGAUGUUAUUGAAAUUGUGGCUUAUGACACUAUGGUAGCAUGAUGGCUAAAUUUUUGGGGUGGGCAUGAAAUAUAUGAAUAGUUUUGGAUUGGUCUCGGUAGACUGGAUUAAAUUUUAUUCGCCAUAUUAUGCUACUGAAAAUUUUAUGGGUCUAGUGGUAUAUUAAACGGUCACUGCAGUGGUGGGGGUUUCCGUGGACUGCCUAUGAGAGGGGACGAUAACCCAAUUAUAUACCUACCUCCGGGGGGGAGAUGUUGGAUGAAGUAUCUCCUGAGGUAAGAUUUGAGUGCACCUCAUGUUCGGGCCACCAUGUGAGAGUGAGACUCAGCCAACGCCAAGGAACGGCUGUGUGUCAGAUGUGAAAACAUGUUUAUGCGUAUGGGACAUUUAACAGCCUUGGCGGUCUUAGUGGGAUACCUUGAUGAAGGUACCGGCGAGAAUGAUUCUGGCAGGGGUCAUGUUUAAGAAAUUCAUAAGCCGGGAAAUUUUGACGAAAAGAAAUUGUUUGGUAUAGAUUGAAACAAAUUUUGCGUUAUGAACAUUAUUGAGAUAUAACGUUUUUAUAGUCUCCAUCUACUCGGCUUUAAAUGCUUUUGAUGGCAAUUGUUUACUCAUUGGAAUUUUAUAAUCUCACCACCCUCAUUUCCUCACAUUUCAGGCUCGAGGAAUUCCAUAGUUAGCUGACUUUGACAAGGACCUUCAUUUGGAUUUGAAUCGGCAAAAGUUGUAGGUUUUUAGCUUUCGAUGCAUUUUGGUUAGUUGUGGGCCCAUGUGUCGCUGUAAAAGUAAUUUUAUACUUCAAUUAUCUGAUUUAAAGUAUGUAUGAACAUAUUUAGCUUUUACACCAUGUUUUUGGCGGGUUUCAAUAUUUUUUUUUAAAAAAGACUAAAAUACCCCAAUGAGAUGGAAAUAAAUUUUUAAUUUAUUUUUACAUCA
rnacentral:lncRNA from 1 species